rnacentral:rRNA from 1 species
GACAGAGGUCCCGAGCGUUAGGCGGAAUCACUGGGCUUAAAGCGUGUGUAGGCGGAGUUCUAAGUACCUUGUGAAAUCCCACGGCUCAACCGUGGAACUGCUUGGUAUACUGGUUCUCUUGAGCCACCUAGGGGCAACCGGAACAAACGGUGGAGCGGUGAAAAUGCGUAGAUAUCGUUUGGAACGCCAAUGGUGAAAACAGGUUGCUGGGGGUGUGCUGACGCUGAGACACGAAAGCCAGGGGAGCAAACGGG